rnacentral:lncRNA from 1 species
ACUGGUGGCCGGGCGGGAUGUAACCGGCUGCUGAGCUGGCAGUUCUGUGUCGCUAGGCUUCUGCCCGGCCGCCGCCGCACAUAAGCCACGAGGAGGAGCUUUACGACUUCCCGGUCUUCGGCGCCGGGCGCAGCAAGGGCCAGACUCUGCGCUAGCAGGCGCUGCGCGCCAACCGGCCGGCACCUGUCGCAGAAGGUGCAACCGAUCGCACUGUCGCGCAGAAGCUCCUCAAUGGCCAGCGCCAGCUGCAGCCCCGGCCGCCCACUCGCCUCAUCUGAGCCUGGCAGAAGGUAAGCAUGAGCAAAUUACUUUUUAGAGGUAACUUUGCUGAACUUGUGAAGAAUGGUGUGCAAGGUCCAGAGCGACUGCAGGAGAGGGAAGGUGGGAUUCCCACAGAGCAGGAGCACAGAUAAGCCAAGCAAGGCCCUGCUUGGAAGGCAGCAAUCAACAGAGAUGCACAGACCUGUGAGGGUGCCGGGACAGCCAUGCAACAAUGCAGCCCUUUUGCUUCCUGAGCUCACCAGUUCCCUCGCUCCACCUCUGAGAGGUGGUUUGGAGAAACACAGCCCUUCUCAAGAGGGCUGCAAGAGCAGACCACAAAGAGCAUGUCUGGACCUAGAACCACAGCAUGUAACCUCGGAAGCAGUGAGACACCAGCCAGCAUGGACAAGCAGCAGGCACUUGCUCUAUACCAGAUAGGUCCCACCUCCAGCCUUCCCCUGCUGCCAUCUAACAUCCUAAACUCCAGCUCUGAAUGUCUGUCUCCUGCUCUGAAUCUUCAGUGACUUCGAAACUCAAGUCAGGACACCUCUCAGUUUGGCCUCACUGCUCAAGAUUGAGCUGAAUUCAUGACCAUAAUUCAAGCAUUCAGAUUCAUGGGCUGUUUUGUGGGUUUUGCUAUCUCUUAUUUUGUUUUUGCACAUCUUACCCACUGAAACGUUGGGCUGCAAAAAGUUUGAUCACUAAAUAUGUAGGCAAUGCUGGAUACUGGGCUGUUAUUUACAUAUUUGUAUCACCUUUUAUUUCAUAAGAUAGCAUUGUCAGAGUAAUUUAGUAUUUCAACAUAAUCAACAAGUAAAAUAAAA